GUCAGGCAUGGUGGCUCAUGCCUGUAAUCCUAGCACUUUGGGAGGCUGAGGCAGGAGGAUCACUUGAGCCCAGGAGUUUUGGGCUGCAGUGAGCUAUGAUCGUGCCACUGCACUCCAGCCUGAGCAACAGAGAAAGACUCUGUCUCUG
ensembl:misc_RNA Metazoa_SRP Metazoan signal recognition particle RNA